UUUGGAUUCUUCCCGCAACUCAUCAACAGUCUUCGUUCCAUUUGAUACUGCACUGGUAACUAAAAGAAGGGCAUGUUUAGUCUGUCCUACCUGGGAAGACAUUAACUUCUUCCAGGUUAAAGUUGACUAAUCGGUUUUAGUAGCUAGCUUACUUCAAAAUAUAUAUAUAUGAAACGAAAGUGCCAUCCACUACUUCAAUGUGCCAAACACUAUUCAACUGAAGAAUAACAAGUGUGUUCUGGCAGACUGAACUGUAAAGAAAGAAGCUCGGAAUCUUACACAUGGAGUGGCACCGGGGAUUCAGUGGCUCAGACAGACAAUAAGCGUAAUCACGCGCAUGUCACGGUUCCUAGCGGGUGAUUUCGACCCAGAAAAGAUGGACUCUGAAUGGGAUGAAAUUAUGGCCUCUCUGAAUACUAGUAUGGAAGAAGGGGGAAAAGAUGGAGUUGAUGAAGACCAGAACCCAGAGACGACAGAAGAAACGUUUACAAGUGUGGAAGAAUGGCUCUGUAACCUCGGUCUAUCCGAACAUGAACUGAAAUUCGUCAUCAACGGGUUUGACAACAUUAAAUUUCUUGUAAGU